GACGAACGCUGGCGGCGUGCCUAAUACAUGCAAGUAGAACGCUGAAGAGAGGAGCUUGCUCUUCUUGGAUGAGUUGCGAACGGGUGAGUAACGCGUAGGUAACCUGCCUUGUAGCGGGGGAUAACUAUUGGAAACGAUAGCUAAUACCGCAUAACAAUGGGUGACACAUGUCAUUUAUUUGAAAGGGGCAAUUGCUCCACUACAAGAUGGACCUGCGUUGUAUUAGCUAGUAGGUGAGGUAACGGCUCACCUAGGCGACGAUACAUAGCCGACCUGAGAGGGUGAUCGGCCACACUGGGACUGAGACACGGCCCAGACUCCUACGGGAGGCAGCAGUAGGGAAUCUUCGGCAAUGGGGGCAACCCUGACCGAGCAACGCCGCGUGAGUGAAGAAGGUUUUCGGAUCGUAAAGCUCUGUUGUAAGUCAAGAACGAGUGUGAGAGUGGAAAGUUCACACUGUGACGGUAGCUUACCAGAAAGGGACGGCUAACUACGUGCCAGCCGCCGCGGUAA
rnacentral:rRNA from 1 species